rnacentral:rRNA from 1 species
AGCAGCCGCGGUAAUUCCAGCUCCAAUAGCGUAUAUUAAAGUUGUUGCAGUUAAAAAGCUCGUAGUUGAAUUUCGGGGUCAGUAGGUCGGUCGUGCCACUGGUAUGAACUGGUUUUACUGAUUCCUCCCUCUUGAAGAACUGUAAUGCCAUUAAUUUGGUGUUGCAGGGAAUCAGGACUGUUACUUUGAAAAAUUAGAGUGUUUAAAGCAGGCUUUAGCUUGAAUACAUUAGCAUGGAAUAAUGAAAUAGGACGUUUGAUCCUAUUUUGUGGUUUCUAGGAUUGACGUAAUGAUUAAUAGGGAUAGUUGGGGGCAUUAGUAUUCAAUUGUCAGAGGUGAAAUUCUUGGAUUUAUUGAAGACUAACUACUGCGAAAGCAUUUGCCAAGGAUGUUUUCAUUAAUCAAGAACGAAAGUUAGGGGAUCGAAGACGAUCAGAUACCGUCGUAGUCUUAACCAUAAACUAUAGCCGACUAGGGAUCGGAUGAUGUUAAUUUUCAAUGACUCA